AUAGAAGAAGAAGAAGAACAACAAU
rnacentral:sRNA from 1 species